rnacentral:rRNA from 1 species
AACCUGCGGAGGGAUCAUUACAGAGUUCAUGCCCUCACGGGUAGAUCUCCCACCCUUGCGUAUUUCAUACCUUUGUUGCUUUGGCAGGCCGCCUGGGUUCGCGCCUGGCCACCGGCUCUCGGGCUGGUGCGUGCCUGCCAGAGGAUCUCCAAACUCUAGUUAUCAGUGUUGUCUGAGUCUUAUACAAUUGUUAAAACUUUCAACAACGGAUCUCUUGGUUCUGGCAUCGAUGAAGAACGCAGCGAAAUGCGAUAAGUAAUGUGAAUUGCAGAAUUCAGUGAAUCAUCGAAUCUUUGAACGCACAUUGCGCCCCUUGGUAUUCCGAGGGGCAUGCCUGUUCGAGCGUCAUUUCAACCCUCAAGCUCUGCUUGGUAUUGGGCCCUGCCGCUGGGCAGGCCUUAAAAUCAGUGGCGGUGCCGUCGCGGCUCCAAGCGUAGUACAUCUCUCGCUCCGGAGGCCCGGUGGUGUCUUGCCAGACAACCCCCAAUUGUCUUCUAUGGUUGACCUCGGAUCAGGUAGGGAUACCCGCU